CUCUCCCUCUCUCCCUCUUUCCCUCUCUCCCUCCCUCUCCCUCUCCCUCUCUCCCUCGAUGCUGUUGGAGAAUGGUGCAGAAGCUCUGAGUCUGCGGUCUGUGGUUUGGAUGGUAGUUUGAACUUGUGUUUUAUGUUCUGUGUUUUUGCGCACUCUUUCUUGUAGCCCUUUGUACGAUUUGUUUUUGUUUGCGUGUGGAGAGGGGUUGAUGUGUUUCUCUGAAUGGGUUCCACGGUUUCCUUGCUUUGUGGCUGUCCAUGGGAAGAACACCCGGAGGAAACCCACACCGUCACAGGAGAGAGUACAAGCUCCUUACAGACUGCGGUGCAAUCGAAAGCUGACGGCAGCCGACACGAUACUAUGCUGUACCGUCAAACAGCGGAACAGGCUUCUCAGACGGUUAUAUUCCGGAAUGGACCAUCGUAUUCCGGUCUGGGCUGUUCUAUUCUGAAAAGGUCUUAAUAUUCUGGAACAGAUUGUUAUAUUCCAGAACGGGUUGUUAUUCUGGAAUGGGCCGUUGUAUUCUGGAACAAGUUGUUAUAAUGGAAUGGGCCAUUGUAUUCUGGAACAGACAGUUAUAUUCUGUCACAUGCAUUCUGCGAAGCUGGAUUCAGGAGUAACUUCAACAAGAAAUUGAAUACAGUGCUGAGAUUCGGCCUCCCACAGGCGGCCAUGGAAACAAAGAAACACCAUGGAACCCAUCAAGAAAACAUCAAACACACAGUGUGCGGAGCAGAGAGCACAUUGAGUAAACGGCCAGAGGCGAACGAACAACAUGCAGACUAUCAAACGUCAAGCCGGGAUUCUGGUGUCAUUCAGCUCAGUUCGCAUUAGCGCCAUGCCGUGAGCCCACUGCAGGCCUCGGGGACGUUCUUCGCAAAAGUGUCCCGGUCCAAACCGCGCAGGAACAACAACAAUAUAGAAGGGUAACCAGAAUCCAGGAACACAGGCAACAUGAACAUCAAAGUCCCCCAGGACGGGUGCACGGCCUCGCUAAUCAAUCCCGGCAAUGUGAAACCCAAGACUCCUGCACUUUCCUCCAACAGUAGCUAGCGAGAGAGAGAGAGGAAGACUGGGGACACGCAGGCAGGCAGAACUGAGCACCCGCCAUCAUCCUCACCAAUCGGAGCAGCGGAGUCAGUUGUGAGCUCGCGCCCUCGACGCCUCAAUUGGAGGGAAGCAGUGGAGUCGAUCAUGGGCUUGUGGCCCAACUCCUCAAUCCGAAAGGAAUCAUGGGCUCGCGCCCUCGACACCUCAAUUGGAGGGAAGCAGUGGAGUCGAUCAUGGAUUCGACGUGGGAUCAUCCCCUCGACACCUGGUUGGAGAGAAGCAAUGGAGUCGAUCACGGGCUCGCGCCUCAUCUCCAGGCUAUCAGGCCUUUAUUUAAAUUGUUCUGAAAUAAUAUCAUAGUCAGAGCACUGAGCUGUCGCUCUUCAGCCUUUUUCAGUGUAAUGCCAAGGUCAGUGAAUAAUCACACUGGGAUUAAAUGAAUAAAGAUUUCAAAGUUUCAAAGUCAAGUUUAUCGUCAGCUGCCAAAUACAUACACGCACAGGUGCAAUGAAAAACUUACUGGCAGCAGCAUCAAGUUUGUUUAAUCCUUAUUCAACCAUAGCCAUGCACGCAGCCAAAUGAAACAGCGUUCCUGCAGGUCCAAGGUGCAAAACCCAUCACCAACAGCACAUAUAAUAAAUGUAGCGAAAAAAAUUACAGUCACACAAAAAAACCCCAAGUCCCCGAGUGCCAUGGCUUGUGGUUUGCUGGUGUCCCAGUUCCUCGUCAUGUGCUGCUGGUGCAGCCCCAGGCGAAUGCAAACACGAUCCAACUCACCCUCCGUCGAGCGACCGGCAGUGACAGGAGGGCACCCUCGCUCCCACACAGUAAGCCCAGGGGCUCCACCAUAUCCGCAGCGUGCUCUCCCAGUGGUUCUCCGCACUGGCAGCACCCUCAGCCUGGCGGGCCCUGGGGGUGAAAGAAAGAGGCCGAGCCUCCCGAAACCGUUAUUCUUACACCCCCUGAGGUGGCUGAAAAUGAACACUGGCACCGUGGUGGGAAGGUGCUGUUGCAUAUACUUCAAAUCGAUGAAGAGGCUUUCGACUGACAGGUAAUCUAAGCCUCCGCGUGACAGCGACCCCGCGGCAUGAGGGCCAGAUCCACUCAGCAACCGAGGCCACACAGCUCCCCUGCCGACGGUCUUGCCAGUGAACCAGAUUAGCAGUAUUCUACAUCACGGGCACACAGCAAUCACAAGAAAAACAUAAAUUUCUUUUUACAAGAGAAAAACACUCUAGAGCUAAAAUCAGUGUAAAGUGAUCAAAGUGUCACUUUGUUACUAGGGUCUUCCUAGUUGGUUUGCCAAGUGGAUGGGUGAAGGGAAGUAGCUACUCCUAAACCUGGUGAUGAUGUUAUGUGAAAUGUGAAAGACUGGUACAGGUUUCAGUAUUUAAACUGGAUGGUCUGAUUUCAGUAGCCUAAUUUGAAACCAUAAGGCAUGGGAGCAGAAGAAAGCUGUUCAGCCUGUUGAAUCUGCUUCACCCUGCAUCACUGCUGAUCCAUUUCUCACUCAGCAGCGACCCCCUGCUUCUCUCCAUAUCCCUUCAAGCCCUGACCAGUCAAGAGUGUAUCAACUUCUGCUUUAGAUAUACCCAGUGACGGCCUCCACGGCCACCUUAAGCAAUAAGUACUACGGCUUUCCACUCUCUUGCUAAAGAAAUUCGUCCUCACCUCUGUUCCAGAUGGAUGUUCCUCUGUUCUGAGGCUGUGUCCUCUGGUCCUAGACUCCCUCACCAUAGGAAACAUCCUCUCCACAUCCACUCUAUCUGUGUCCUCUGGUCCUAGACUCCCCCACCAUAGGAAACAUCCUCUCCACAUCCACUCUAUCUGUGUCCUCUGGUCCUAGACUCCCCCACCAUAGGAAACAUCCUCUCCACAUCCACUCUAUCUGUGUCCUCUGGUCCUAGACUCACCCACCAUAGGAAACAUCCUCUCCACAUCCACUCUAUCUGUGUCCUCUG